GAUACAAAAUGAAAUGUAAGCAAUAAGCAUAAACUUAGGAAACAUAAGCUUCUGCUAUUAAUAUUUACUUACUAUUUUAUCUCCAUUUGUCUAUGCAGAAGCAUACAAACAUAUUUUACUUUGCUAUUUGCGUAUUGACAAUGUUGCUGGUGCCGCUGUUCUAUCUUUUCGUUUACUUGUAUCGAAGGGAAAUGAAAAAGGGUGUCCAAGACCUGAAACGCAUUUCAAAAGCUGGGCGUAAGUCAAAGCCCUCAUAAUAGUGCCACUUUGCAUAUACGAAGCAAGACGGCACACUAAACAAGUGGAGUUUGCUGUUGUAAAGCUGAUUUAUUCCAUUCUCUCCUGCAAUUACUUCUUUUCGCUUCGGCCUGGUGCGUAAGUUGUCCUCGACCACUGCUAGUUGGUGAAACACAUGCUCAAAAGAGUAAAGCCUUGAUCCUGUUGAAAUUUGAGAGGUCCAGUUGCACAGCAGACAUGUCGUGGAUUUCGUUCCCAUGUUGUAACAAUGUAACUCUAUUCAUGACAUUGUUGAAUUGUCUGGGCAAGGAUUUACCGAUGUCUUGAGAUUUCAACUAGAUUUAUCAUGUAAUCAUGUACAUUCUAGUUUCUUCCUCAUUAGAAAGGAAUUUUCGUCAUCUGGAAACUCGGUGUCUUUGCUUUCUAUUGUUCAGCAGUGAAAAGUUUAAUUUGGCAA